rnacentral:rRNA from 1 species
AGAGUUUGAUCCUGGCUCAGAAUCAACGCUGGCGGCGUGCCUAACACAUGCAAGUCGAACGAGAAAGUGGAGCAAUCCAUGAGUAAAGUGGCGCACGGGUGAGUAACACGUGACUAACCUACCCUUGAGUGGGGAAUAACUUCGGGAAACCGAGGCUAAUACCGCAUAACACCUACGGGUCAAAGGAGCAAUUCGCUUAAGGAGGGGGUCGCGGCAGAUUAGUUAGUUGGCGGGGUAAUGGCCCACCAAGACGGUGAUCUGUAUCCGGCCUGAGAGGGCGCACGGACACACUGGAACUGAAACACGGUCCAGACUCCUACGGGAGGCAGCAGUGGGGAAUUUUGCGCAAUGGGGGAAACCCUGACGCAGCAACGCCGCGUGGAGGAUGAAGUCCCUUGGGACGUAAACUCCUUUCGAUCGGGACGAUUAUGACGGUACCGGAAGAAGAAGCCCCGGCUAACUUCGUGCCAGCAGCCGCGGUAAUACGAGGGGGGCGAGCGUUGUUCGGAAUUAUUGGGCGUAAAGGGCGCGUAGGCGGUCGGAUAAGUCUUGUGUGAAAUCUCCGGGCUCAACUCGGAGUCUGCACGAGAAACUAUCUGGCUUGAGUGUGGGAGAGGUGAGUGGAAUUCCUGGUGUAGCGGUGAAAUGCGUAGAUAUCAGGAGGAACACCUGUGGCGAAAGCGGCUCACUGGACCACAACUGACGCUGAGGCGCGAAAGCUAGGGGAGCAAACAGGAUUAGAUACCCCCGUAGUCC